rnacentral:ncRNA from 1 species
CCCUCCACUCACGUGGCGGGCUAUUUCAUUGCGUCGCUACGCGACU